CUACAUCUCUAAAGGUGAUACAGCAGGCUAAUGGCCAGUUAAUAUAAGUAAUUGACAACUACAUUAGAUCAUUGGCUGAAUUGUUAAGUAAUCACCAAGUGGUGAUAAUCACCUCCAUUAACAAA